rnacentral:ncRNA from 1 species
UAAUUAUUUUAGUUAUUUUAAUUAAUUAAUAUAUUUUAUUUAAUUAUCUUUUAAAAUAAAAGAAAUUUAUAUAUAAAUUUUUAUAAAAAUUGUUUAAAAAACUUUAAAUAUUUAAUAAAUAAAAUUAUUUAUUUUAGUAAUUUAUUAAAUAUAAAUUAAUUUAAUAUUUAUAAAUUUAGUGCCAGCAAUAGCGGUUAUACUAAAGAUAUAAAUUAAUUAUUUUUAUUAAUUAUUAACUUUAAUGUUAAUUUAAUAAAAUUUUAUAAUUUUAAGAUAAAAUUAAAUUAUAUUUUUUAUUAUAAAUAUUAAUUAUUAAAGAAAUUAAUAAAAUUUUAAAAUAAACUAGGAUUAGAUACCCUACUAUUAAAAUUUAAAAUUUUUAAUAAAUUAGUAAAUUUAUUUUUAAAAUUAAAAUUAUUGGCGGUAUUUUAAUCUGAUUAGAGAAACUUGAAGAUUAAUUUGAUGAUCCACGAAAAGACAGACUUUUAUAAUUUAUAUUUAUGUAUGUUCGUUAUAAAAAAAUUUAAUUAUAAUAUUUUUAAAAAAUUUUAUUAAUUAUAUUUCAGAUCAAUAUGUAGUUUUUAAAAGGUUUUUUGAGUUGCUUUUUAAUUAAAAAUUUUAAAUUUAAAAAUUUAAUUAAAGUAGGAUUUAAUAGUAAAUUUAAUAAAUUAAUUAUCUUGAAUAAGUUUUAAAAUAUGUACAAAUUGCCCGUCGCUUUUAUUAAUAUAUAAAAUAAGUCGUAACAAAGUAAAUUUACUGGAAAGUAAAUUUAGAUAUUUUUAAU